CUGGCGGCGUGCUUAACACAUGCAAGUCGAACGCGAACGAGUUCUUCGGAACUUUAGUAGAGUGGCGCACGGGUGAGUAACGCGUAAGUUAUCUACCCUGACAUCUGGGAUAACCCACCGAAAGGUGUGCUAAUACCGGAUACGUCUAAGUUAAUAUCUUUUUUUUAGAGAAAGGUGGCCUCAUUUAUAAGCUACUGUGCGGGGAGGAGCUUGCGUACCAUUAGCUAGUUGGUGGGGUAAUGGCCUACCAAGGCAACGAUGGUUAGCGGGUCUGAGAGGAUGAUCCGCCACACUGGAACUGGAACACGGACCAGACUCCUACGGGAGGCAGCAGUGAGGAAUAUUGCGCAAUGGGGGGAACCCUGACGCAGCGACGCCGCGUGGAUGAUGAAGGCCUUCGGGUCGUAAAAUCCUGUCAGAUGGGAAGAAAUGCUACAUCUCUAAUAUAGUUGUAGUUUGACGGUACCAUCAAAGGAAGCACCGGCUAACUCCGUGCCAGCAGCCGCGGUAAUACGGAGGGUGCACGCGUUGUUCGGAAUUACUGGGCUUAAAGCGCGCGUAGGCGGUUAUUUAAGUCAGAUGUGAAAGUCCACGGCUCAACCGUGGAAGUGCAUUUGAAACUGGAAAGCUUGAGUAUUGGAGGGGGUAGUGGAAUUCCCGGUGUAGAGGUGAAAUUCGUAGAUAUCGGGAGGAAUACCAGUGGCGAAGGCGACUACCUGGACGAUGAUUGACGCUGAGACGCGAAAGCGUGGGUAGCAAACAGGAUUAGAUACCCUGGUAGUCCACGCCGUAAACGAUGCGCCUAGGUGCAGCGGAUAUUGACCUCUGCUGUGCCGUAGCUAACGCGUUAAGUUCUCCGCCUGGGGAGUACGGCCGCAAGGCUAAAACUCAAAGGAAUUGACGGGGGCCCGCACAAGCAGUGGAGCAUGUGGUUUAAUUCGAAGCAACGCGCAGAACCUUACCAGGGCUAGACAAACUAAGAAUCCCGGAGAAACUCGGGAGUGCUCGCAAGAGAACUUAGGUCCAGGUGCUGCAUGGCUGUCGUCAGCUCGUGUCGUGAGAUGUUGGGUUAAGUCCCGCAACGAGCGCAACCCUUAUCCUUAGUUGCCAUCAUUUAGUUGGGCACUCAAAGGAGACUGCCGGGGUCAACCCGGAGGAAGGUGGGGAUGACGUCAAGUCCUCAUGGCCCUUAUGUCCUGGGCUACACACGUGCUACAAUGGUCGGUACAAUGCGCUGCGAAGCCGCGAGGUGGAGCGAAUCGCAAAAAGCCGGCCUCAGUACGGAUUGCACUCUGCAACUCGAGUGCAUGAAGUCGGAAUUGCUAGUAAUCGUCGAUCAGCAGGCGACGGUGAAUACGUUCUCGGGCCUUGUACACACCGCCCGUCACACCAUGGGAGUCGAGUGCUCCAGAAGUGGCCACGCUAACCCGCAAGGGAGGCAGGUCCCCAAGGAGUG
rnacentral:rRNA from 1 species